GAUGAACGCUAGCUACAGGCUUAACACAUGCAAGUCGAGGGCAGCACUAGGUAGCAAUACUGAGGUGGCGACCGGCGCACGGGUGCGUAACGCGUAUCCAACUUUCCCGUUACUCAGGGAUAGCCUUCCGAAAGGGAGAUUAAUACCUGAUGGUGUUUGAAAUUCGCAUGUUCUUCAAACUAAAGAUUUAUCGGUAACGGAUAGGGAUGCGUGACAUUAGAUAGUAGGCGGGGUAACGGCCCACCUAGUCUACGAUGUCUAGGGGUUCUGAGAGGAAGGUCCCCCACACUGGUACUGAGACACGGACCAGACUCCUACGGGAGGCAGCAGUGAGGAAUAUUGGUCAAUGGGCGGGAGCCUGAACCAGCCAAGUCGCGUGAGGGAAGACGGUUCUAUGGAUUGUAAACCUCUUUUGUCAGGGAGCACUAAGCCACGAGUGGUGUAAAGAGAGUACCUGAAGAAAAAGCAUCGGCUAACUCCGUG
rnacentral:rRNA from 1 species